GACGAACGCUGGCGGCGUGCUUAACACAUGCAAGUCGAACGGAAAGGCCCUGCUUUUGUGGGGUGCUCGAGUGGCGAACGGGUGAGUAACACGUGAGUAACCUGCCCUUGACUUUGGGAUAACUUCAGGAAACUGGGGCUAAUACCGGAUAGGAGCUCCUGCUGCAUGGUGGGGGUUGGAAAGUUUCGGCGGUUGGGGAUGGACUCGCGGCUUAUCAGCUUGUUGGUGGGGUAGUGGCUUACCAAGGCUUUGACGGGUGGCCGGCCUGAGAGGGUAACCGGCCAAAUGGGAACUGGGAUACGGCCCAGACUCCUACGGGAGGCAGCGGGGGGAAAAAUUGCACAAGGGCGGAAGCCUGAUGCAGCAACGCCGCGUGCGGGAUGACGGCCUUCGGGUUGUAAACCGCUUUCGCCUGUGACGAAGCGUGAGUGACGGUAAUGGGUAAAGAAGCACCGGCUAACUACGUG
rnacentral:rRNA from 1 species